rnacentral:rRNA from 1 species
GAAACCUUUACACUGCACGCACGUGCGAUAAGGGGACUCCGAGUGCGAGGGCAUAUCGUCCUCGCUUUCGUGUACCGUAGGGUGGUACACCAACAAGGGCUGGGCAAGACCGGUGCCAGCCGCCGCGGUAAUACCGGCAGCCCGAGUGAUGGCCGAUCUUAUUGGGCCUAAAGCGUCCGUAGCUGGCUGCGCAAGUCCGUCGGGAAAUCCACUCGCCCAACGAGUGGGCGUCCGACGGAAACUGCACAGCUUGGGACCGGAAGGCUCGAAGGGUACGUUCGGGGUAGGAGUGAAAUCCCAUAAUCCCGCACGGACCACCGAUGGCGAAAGCACUUCGAGAAAACGGAUCCGACAGUGAGGGACGAAAGCCAGGGUCUCCAACCGGAUUAGAUACCCGGGUAGUCCUGGCCGUAAACAAUGUUCGCUAGGUAUGACACAGACUACGCGUCUCUGUUGUGCCGUAGGGAAGCCGAGAAGCGAACCGCCUGGAA